rnacentral:rRNA from 1 species
UGGCGGACGGGUGAGUAACGCGUGGGUAACCUGCCUCAUACAGGGGGAUAACAGUUAGAAAUGACUGCUAAUAUCGCAUAAGACCACGGAGCCGCAUGGCUCAGUGGGAAAAACUCCGGUGGUAUGAGAUGGACCCGCGUCUGAUUAGGUAGUUGGUGGGGUAACGGCCUACCAAGCCAACGAUCAGUAGCCGACCUGAGAGGGUGACCGGCCACAUUGGGACUGAGACACGGCCCAA